GAUGAACGCUGGCGGCGUGCCUAAUACAUGCAAGUCGAGCGAACAGACGAGGCGCUUGUUCCUCUGACGUUAGCGGCGGACGGGUGAGUAACACGUGUAUAACCUACUUAUAAGUCUGGGAUAAUCUCGGGAAACCGGAUCUUAUACCGGAGAAUAUAUUGAACCGCGUGGUUCAAUAGUAAAUGUCGGUUUUGCUGUAUCUUAUAGCUGCAUCCGGGCUGCAUGAGCUAGUUGGUGAGGUAACGGGUUAUCAAGGCGACGAUGCGUAGACGACGUGAGUGGGUGAUCGGCCACACUGGAACGGAGACACGGACCAGACUCCUACGGGAGGCAGCAGUAGGGAACCUUCCGCAAUGGGCGAAAGCAUGACGGAGCAACGCCGCGUGAGUGAUGAAGGUCUUCGGAUCGUAAAGCUCUGUUAUUAGGGAAGAACAAAUUUGGAAGGAAAUAAGGACGUCUUGACGGUAACUAAUCAGAAAGCAACGGCUAACUACGUG
rnacentral:rRNA from 1 species